rnacentral:rRNA from 1 species
UAGUCAUAUGCUUGUCUCGAAAGAUCAUGCCAUGCAUGUUUAAGUACAAGCCUCAAUAAGGUGAAACCGCGAAUGGCUCAUUAAAUCACACCUAAUAUACUGGAUAGUUAACAGUUACUUGGAUAACUGCGGUAAUUCUGGAGCUAAUCCAUGCACAAAGCCCCGAACUUACGUGAGGGGCGCUUUUAUCAGAUCAAAACCAAACGCCUUCGUCCGUAUCCUCGGUGACUAUGAAUAACUGUGGGCUGAUCGCAUGGCCUAGCGCCGGCGACAUAUCCUUCGAAGGUGUGCCCCAUCAACUGUCGCCUGUGGCAUAGACGCCCACAGUGGUUUUGACCGGUAACGGGGAAUCAGGGUUCGAUUCCGGAGAGGGAGCCUUAAAACCGGCUACCACAUCUAAGGAAGGCAGCAGGCACGCAAAUUACCCAAUGACCGAAGGUCGAGGUAGUGACAAAAAAUCACGAUACGGGACUCAUCUGAGGCCCCGUAUAUCGGAAUGAGUACACUUUAAAACCGUCCCCGAGGAUCUAUU